rnacentral:rRNA from 1 species
UACGUAGGGGGCAAGCGUUGUCCGGAUUUAUUGGGCGUAAAGAGCGUGUAGGCGGCCUGGUAGGUCUGCUGUGAAAACUCGAGGCUCAACCUCGAGAUGUCGGCGGAAACCAUCUGGCUAGAGUCCGGAAGAGGAGAGUGGAAUUCCGAGUGUAGAGGUGAAAUUCGUAGAUAUUCGGAGGAACACCAGUGGCGAAGGCGGCUCACUGGUCCGGUACUGACGCUGAGGUGCGAAAGCGUGGGGAGCAAACAGG